rnacentral:rRNA from 1 species
UAGGGAAUCUUCCGCAAUGGACGAAAGUCUGACGGAGCAACGCCGCGUGAGUGAAGAAGGAUUUCGGUUCGUAAAACCCUGUUGUUAGGGAAGAAAAAAUGUAUAGUAACUAUAUACAAAAGAGACGGUACCUAACCAGAAAGCCACGGCUAACUACGUGCCAGCAGCCGCGGUAAUACGUAGGUGGCAAGCGUUGUCCGGAAUUAUUGGGCGUAAAGCGCGCGCAGGUGGUUUAGAAAGUCUGAUGUGAAAGCCCACGGCUCAACCGUGGAGGGUCAUUGGAAACUAAUAAACUUGAGUGCAGGAGAGAAAAGUGGAAUUCCUAGUGUGGCGGUGAAAUGCGUAGAGAUUAGGAGGAACACCGGUGGCGAAAGCGGCUUUUUGGCCUGCAACUGACACUGAGGCGCGAAAGCGUGGGGAGCAAACAGG